rnacentral:lncRNA from 10 species
UGGACCACUGGGCUGGGACCCACGACCCCACCACCACGCCUGGAGGACGCGCAGCGGCGCCUCGGCCUUGGAAGGGGAGUUUCCCAGCGCGAGCCCCGCCCUUCCCCGCCCGGGAGGCGCCUCGGGGCGGGGUCACUGGCCGGGAGGCCCCGCCUUCCGCCCGAAAGCGCCGGUGCACCCCGCAGGCCCUGCCCGUGGGUCCACAGGCCGGAUCCCCGGGUUCCUAGGCUGGGACUGCUUCUCAGAACCACUCUGUCGUUUUUAAGCAGGGUCACACACUCUAGCUCACUGGGUCCAUUUUAAUUUCUAUUAAACAUUUUUUUUUUUUUGCAAAUGAUGUAGUAGGAGAUCCAAGGUGUUUGGUUAAUGAUUUAUUCACUCAUUAGUCAUUCCACAAACUUGUCUUGAGCACCUGUUAUGUACCCAGCACUGUGCUGGAAUGCUGAGGAGACAGGAGUGAAGUAAAAAGACAUGGUUCCGGCAGGAAACAGGCAAGGAGAGCCUUGACUUGGUAGGGCUAACACAGUGCUACACAGGAGGGACGCCCGCUCGGUGUCGGGGGUCAGCAAAGCUUCCUUAAGGACCACUAGGUUGAGACAAGAAGGAUGAGUAUGGGAUUAGCCAGGAAAGGGAAAAGGGCAGUGGGAACUGGAAGAGAAGAGCCUUCUAGGACUGGGAAAGAGCAAGUGCCGGGUCAGGAGAGAGGACAUAGCAGUGAGGAGGCAGUAGGUAUGGAUGAAUGAGCAGAGGAAGUGGGGAGAGAUUAAGGUGCUUUCAGAAACGGGUUGGAAACCAGUUUAGUGAGUUUGGAUGGCAUUUACCUAAAGGCAAUGUUAGAGUCAUCGAAAGUUUUUAAUCAGGCAAGUGGUAUGAUCAGUUUUUUGUUUUGUUUUGUUUUUUUUGAGACGGAGUCUGGCUAUAUCGCCAGGCUGGAAUGCAAUGGCGCGAUCUCUCCUCACUGCAACCUCCGCCUCCCGGGUUCAAGCGAUUCUCCUGCCUCAGCACCUCGAGUAGCUGGGACUACAGGCGCGCGCCACCACGCCCAGGGCACUUGGUGACCUACUUAGACAUGACAUUCCUUGGCCUCCCUUUCAGCAAGAUGAGAAAACUGAGGCACAGAGAGGUGAAAUAAGGAAUGAAAUAUUACUGGAUGAAAUAAUUAUACUGAUCCUAGCCUUAUUUUAAAAGGCAGGCCCCCAGAAUGCUCUUCUCCAAGACUUAGAAAAAUCAAAUGCUAUCCAUCCCUCAAGAUACAUCCCUCCAGCCCCUCCUUGAAGUCUCCUGCAGCUAGAAGUAGAAGUAGCAUCUAUCCCCAUCUGGACUCCUUAGCACUUUGCUGUACCUGCCUUAGUCCCCAUCUCUUUACACACACACACACACACACACACACACACACAGAGUAUUAUAAUACUAUUACCUAUUAUAUUACAUUAUAUUAUUGUAGUUCUACAGGAACUACAAGGAAUUCUACUGUGAAUUCCUUAAGGGUGGGAUACAUUUUACAAUCAUCACUGUUUCUCUCAUUAGUUGUGGAAUCAAAAAAAUGAGUGCACGAUGAAAAAUUAUUCAAACACAUACAUGCUUUCAUUCCAAUUGAAAAUGUAAAAAUAUUACUGUUAAAACAAUAUUAAAGGACAUGUAAUACAAUUCAAAUAUUCCUACCAUGCACGAUUGUUUUCACUUCUUUGUGCCUCUUUCACCAUUUAUUUGUGUGCAUACUCAGCAUAUUUGUUUGUGUAACAGGAUGUUAAAAAUAGAAUUUGUUGCCUGUAGUUUUUGCUAAAGCUCUACUAGACUGGAACAGAACAAUAGGUGGUAAAUACUCCAUUCCUCAGUGAGAUGCUACCUACCUAUGCAGAGCUGGAAAAGAUUUUGCAACCUGAAAACCCAAUCCUUUCUGAGAUAUAAAAGAACAGAAGAGUCUGGAAGUGAUUUCUUCGGAGAAAUUCAUUUUCUUAUUCCAGAGAAGAAACUUCAAGCUCAGAAUAUUGGCUACUACCUGUGAUAAACAUUUAAAUUAUUGGAACGAGAGAGUUUUUAUAACUAAAUUUGAAAGAAGCAAUUUUUUUUAUCAAAGACCAACCCGAAGAUUCAUGACCACUACCUGUGAUUUCAUCCAUGUUGCAAGGAAAAUCCUGCCCCACUUCCCCAAUAGGAAGAGUGGUGGGGGAAUAAUAAAGUUGUUUUAUGAUGCAUCCUGUGGACUUCUACUCGACAGAAUGGUAACAUUCAACUGUAAUCAGGAUGAGCAAGCCACUUUAUUAAACUAAAAUUUUAAACUUUAAUAAAUAUAAUACAAACUGAAAAAUAAAAAUAAUUUUUCAACUCUACACAAGUAUGUUAACUGCAUAAACAGUGAGAUGUUACACAGGGCUGAGGCCUAUACUUCUUCAGUUUGUACAUUAAACGUCUCCAUGGAGGGUCAAUUGCAUCCUACCUAUUCUGACAGUUAUCAGGUAGCGAGAGAUUUGAGGAAGAGGCGCUUUUCUAAUCUGGGGUAGGAAAAGGAAUGAUACCAUGUAUCAUGAGAAGUAUUUGCACAUAGUGUGUCAAUUAAGCAAGUGCUCAGACUAUUAACAACAUUACUAUGUGAUGAAUGUUUAUACAGUGGAUUCAAAAAUAAGCUUCUUUCCAGAAAGCAGCUUAGUUUUCAUUAAUUAUUACCAGCAUCUUGGUAAUUAUUUAUUUAAUGGUUUAAAAGUUAAAGUUUCAAUCUAUAUUUGUUUUUUUAACAUCAGCCAAGGAAAUACAUGUCUGUUAUACUGCAUCUUUGGAAGUAUGCAAUAAGUGUAACUAUUGAAUCUAUAUUGAAGAGCCACAAGACACUGAAUUUAAUUGGACGAGACUAUUUUAUUUAGGAAGACAAUCAUCUCCUGUGAUCAGCUUAAGGUUUUUGUUUUGUUUUAUCUGGAACAAGCUAAGUUCAUAUUUAGAAAAUAAAGUUAGUUUUUUGGGUGCAUGAGUUUUAGAGUAAAUUAGUAAUUUAGUAAACUUUGACAUUUCCACUUUGUCUCCAAACACAUUUAAAUUCUAUCUGUCUGACUGAAGUUCUAAGGCAUUCUGUGGUUACUUAGAAAUGAUUCCUUAUAUUAAUGUUUACAAAUGCUAAAUUGUAUUUGUUAAAUACAUGUCUUAUUGCCUAAGAGUUUUCCUUUCUUAUAAGUUUAAUAUAAAUGUCUAGGAAAUAAGACUCCCAUUUAAUAGCUUAUAAAGAAUGCUGAUGUAUCAGCAGUGGCCUUGACAUUAUUGGAUACAAGUAAGAUCUACACUGAUGAUUAAAUCAAAUUGGCUAAGAUUAUUCGUUCUAAUAAAAGCACUGACUCCAUGAAGUUUUCUUGUGGCUGAAAUUAACAUUCGUGUUCCUACAAGCUCUUUAAAAUCUUAGUUACUGAAAAUUAUUCCUUUUGACCUAAUUUUUUCUUUACUUUGGAUGUAUUUGACAAGGUAGAGGUUAGGGAUUGGAGAGUAUGUAAAGAAUGAAAUAAAAUGUAGUCACUUUUAACUAUAUCCACAUA